rnacentral:rRNA from 3 species
CUUUUGUGGAGAGUUUGAUCCUGGCUCAGGACGAACGCUGGCGGCGUGCCUAAUACAUGCAAGUCGAGCGGAUCUUGUCCUUCGGGACAAGGUUAGCGGCG